rnacentral:rRNA from 1 species
AUUGAACGCUGGCGGCAUGCUUUACACAUGCAAGUCGAACGGUAGAGGGGGCAACCCCUUGAGAGUGGCGAACGGGUGAGUAAUGCAUCGGAACGUGCCCAGUCGUGGGGGAUAACGCAGCGAAAGCUGUGCUAAUACCGCAUACGAUCUCUGGAUGAAAGCGGGGGACCUUGUAGCAAUACGGGGCCUCGCCGGAUUGGAGCGGCCGAUGUCAGAUUAGGUAGUUGGUGGGGUAAAGGCUCACCAAGCCAACGAUCUGUAGCUGGUCUGAGAGGACGACCAGCCACACUGGGACUGAGACACGGCCCAGACUCCUACGGGAGGCAGCAGUGGGGAAUUUUGGACAAUGGGCGCAAGCCUGAUCCAGCAAUGCCGCGUGCAGGAAGAAGGCCUUCGGGUUGUAAACUGCUUUUGUACGGAACGAAAAGGUCUGGGUUAAUACCCUGGGCACAUGACGGUACCGUAAGAAUAAGCACCGGCUAACUACGUGCCAGCCGCCGCGGUAA